rnacentral:rRNA from 1 species
GAUGAACGCUAGCGGCAGGCUUAAUACAUGCAAGUCGAGGGGCAGCGCGGGGUAGCAAUACUCUGGCGGCGACCGGCAAACGGGUGCGGAACACGUACAGAACCUUCCUUCGAGCGGGGAAUAGCCCAGAGAAAUUUGGAUUAAUACCCCAUAGUAUAGCGGAGUGGCAUCACUCUGUUAUUAAAGAUUUAUCACUUGAAGAUGGCUGUGCGGCUGAUUAGGUAGUUGGCGGGGUAACGGCCCACCAAGCCUGCGAUCAGUAACUGGUGUGAGAGAACGACAAGUCAAACGGGCACUGAGACCCGGGCCCGACUCCUACGGGAGGAAGCAGUAAGGAAUAUUGGUCAAUGGACGAAAGUCUGAACCAGCCAUGCCGCGUGAAGGAUGAAGGUCCUCUGGAUUGUAAACUUCUUUUAUAUGGGACGAAAAAAGGCUUUUCUUGGUCAACUGACGGUACCAUAUGAAUAAGCACCGGCUAACUCCGUGCCAGCCGCCGCGGUAACAC